rnacentral:misc_RNA from 1 species
AUUGUAUACAUGUACUUUACGUGGGAAUUGGAUGAGGUAAAAACUUAAUGUUUCAGGUCUUCCAAGCAUAAACCAGCAAGGAAAAUCCAGUGGGAUCCUUCAUUUCAUUUUCUUCUGUGCUUGCCCAUUCCAUUACAGAGCUACUACAACUUGAAGAUGCUGAAGAUAAAGAUGAUGAUGAAGAUGAUGAACUUCUCAAUACACCUUUCUUCAUCAUCUUUGUCUCAAACCCAAAUCCACAAGAUUGCUGGGACCACAUACUAUUAUUAAAUUGCUCCUCAUCCAAACUUGAUUUCUCAAAUUUGAACAUGUACAAAGCAUAACCAUCUUCAUCAUCAUCAAACAACCAGUUAUACACAUCCCAUGACACCGCUACUCCAACCCCAUCUACUUCAAUUCUCUCAUUCCCUCUGAAUUUCCAUCUCAAGUGCUUAAUUUGCAAUACCCUUUUGUUGUCCACACUGAAAUACAACCUUGGAUCUUCCCCAAUCCUGCAAUCAAUUGAGAUUUCUCUUUCUUUUCCACCAAACUUUGCUUUUGUUAUGUACAGUUUGUUCCCACAGUACACAUGUUCCCUUCUCAGCACCAUGUUCAUGUUCAUGUACUUGUUUCGAGCUCUUGUCCUUGAAUAAGCUUCUUUGAGUAAAUCGCCGACGAGAAGAACCAUUUCUCCGUUAACGGUAGCAGCCAUGUAGAAUCCAGAUCGAGGUUCAGGGCCAGAUCCGAAUUUAGCUUUGGAAAAAUCCCAAAAGAUGUGAACAUUGUUAUGGAGCUUGUUAGAUCCGUGUUUCUUCCAGAAAACAAAAGGCUUGAUGUGGAGUUGGAAAGAAGGGGAUAGAUGAGGAGAAGAAAGGCCAUUGAGGAGGAAAUGGAUAUGAAAAGAUCUGCCGAACAGAUUGCGUGACCAAGUUAGAGCAAAAAGGCCGAGGUGGGUGUUGUAGAGGGAGGUGGCUAGAUUGGGAUAUGUAGCAACUCCAACUGGUGGAAGAGCGGUGGCAGCCGGGCGUCCAAAACAAGCAGAGUAAUAGUGGCG